UGGGGUUUUAUUUUUAUUUUUAUUUUAUUUUAUUUCUUUAGUAAUUAUCGGGACACAUUUUGCUUGGCCACUUGAGCUCCACGGUCAUGGUUUAUUUUUCCCUGCACGCACAGCGGCGAAGGUCGCGCUUUGGGUAACAUGGCGGACUAACAUGGCCGGGGCCGCGACGAGGGGGGUGCCGAGCCCAACGAAAGGGGAAGCGCUGACAGGGCGGCUCGGCUCCCGUUCCCUCUGCUCCGGCGGCUCCCCCCGGUCGCUUUAUUGAUCCUGAACGCGGUCAAUCCCCCCCCGGGGGGGCUCGCCCUCCCGCCGAGCCCCCCUUCCUGCGGCGGUGCCUGAGGGGGGCCCGGCCCGCUGAGGGGACGGCGGCGCCGCAGCCGCUUUCCCGCCAAGCGCCGGCCGCCGGGUGACUCGCCCUGCUCCGCCGGGCCGCCAGGCUUUCUAAGACAGCACAAAACACUGAUUCUCUAAGCGAUCUCUUGUUGCCCUUCCAUUAGAAGUGGGGAGAAAUGCUCUUUCUACCUCCUUUCAGUAACGCUUAACUAUUUUAAGAACUGUUUUAACAAAUUCUAUUUUUUUCCCUCCUGAAGUAGCCCUCUUUAGGACUUUUUUGCCGAUUUACAGUAGAAUCGCCUCAAGAUUUUGGAUCUAUAAAUACUUGCACUCUAAAUGCAUAUUUUGUUCUCAGGCAUAUGUGUUGGUGAAGCAUUAAAAACAGGACUUAAAUAGAUUUGGGCAUCGUGCACAUAGAACUACAUAUAUUUAUGUUUUUACAAGUCCCAAAGUUCGACAGGACAAAAGCCAGGGCAGAGUCAAAACUCUGUGAAAAACUGAAUUGCCAUAGUUUUAGUGUCUCACGUGCUUUUACUACAUUUAGGGUGGUUUUUAGCUGGUGCAUUAACAAUGGCUUGGGGGGUUCUUCCCCCCGCCCCACCACCUGCUCGCUGAGGUUCUGUCCUCUUAAGUUCUUCCCCAGCCCCUCCAUGAGCGAUUAAUGGAUACCGGUGCCUUGAGUACUGUGUUUGUUUUCUGCAGAUACUCAUAAAGCACUCGGACAUCCUCCAGCAUUCACGUUUGGUAAAAAGCCUUGAGCAGCGGGAGCCGUCUGACUCCAGGAACGAUGGAGGGGGCUGGCAUGAAGCAGCUGAUCCUGCUCCUGCCAAACUGAUUCAGAUGAUGUUCUCUGGAGGCCAGAAGAAACAGGCUGGAGCAGAGGGUAGUAGGGAAGACAUGUCUGCUUUAGUUGUAGCUCACGCAUCUGCACCCAGCCUGAGUGCCAACGCAUCGAGAGCUGCAGGCAGACACUGGGGGACAGGGUCGGCUCUGUGGGGAGCUGUGCCACAUGUUUGUAAGAAAAGUGGGGGAGCUCACCUCCUCCUGCAAAGAAGAGAAGGCUACAGCUGCAGCACGCAUUUGUCGCUGUUGCUAAGGUAGCACAUAAUACACCCACACUAGCCUAAAAGCAAAACGGCGCGCAUGGGAAAUUUCAGGCAGCCAGGAGUCUUGUGUGUGAGAGUGCUGCUCUCUGUCAGGUGCUGUCUCCAAUGCUACUGAACCCCGACAGAUAACUCUCCAUGCAUGCCGUUUCCCUGAAUUUAUUUUUUUUUUUUUUGGGGGGGGGGUAGCUGUGCCAUCCAGUUAGGUGUGCAUCUGCAAUAUUUUGUCUUGUAAUGCUCUGCCUUCUGCUGCUGAGAAAAGUGUGCAAUGCCUCUGCUUGCUGAUGGUUUCAGGAAGCAGGGCUGGGCUGCACAGGGCAGUUCUGAUGCUUGCUGAGAGAAAGGUUUAAGCACUGCUGCUUUCCUUUCCGAGCCAGGUACACAAAGCCAACCCUGCUGUAAUGGAAGAGCUGCAUGCUUUUAACCACCUCUCCUAACAUCACCGUGACCACUUCCCUCUCCUUUUGGCCUGCGGUACUCCACCCAAUGCGUGGAGUGCGUGCACACCCUAGAAGCUGGCACAGAAACACACCUCAGAAGCUGUGAAAAGGACAGACCCGUCUCUGACUUGCUUUUUGGGCCCAAGUGCUCCAAAAGCAAUACAUCAUAUAGUUUGAAAACUGUGCGUGAGUACCUCAUUUAUGACUUCCAACGCACACUUUUGGUCUUUAAAUUAGGCAACUACUUUAUUCCCACUACUAGGCACUGAUCUGCUCUUUUACUGCUCUUUGGAGCGCCUUCGAUCAUCGGGGUCAGCAAGCAAAGCUGCGACAGGCGUGAAUCACAUAGACAAGCCAAUGUGCAGGAGGCAGCAACUGCUGUGGCUGGCAGGAACACGCUGAAGAGUGACAUAAAAGCCUGCAUGCCUAAAGCAAAGGGUGUCUGUAGCUGUGAUUUGUCAAACUGACUGUGAGGGCUGUCUCCAUCAGCAAGAAAUGCAGCGGCCAGACCUCCAUCUGUGUUCCUGGACUCGCUCAACCUGCCACAGUAGCUGCUGGGAUUCAUCACACAGCUCAGCCCUUUAGUGACUUUGUGGCCACUGACAACCCAGCCAGUGAAACACUCUCCUGCUACGAGUGAGAAGAUUUGCAGUUGAGGUCACCGAACACCCGCUGCAGACCACUGCCUGAGACAGCCUGGGUGUUAUCUGCAGCUGCCCUCCACUUACGUGAGACUUCUGGAGAAAUGGGUCAGAUUAUCAACGCGCUUAUAGGUGGUGAAGACGGUGAUCUGCUUUCACCCUAGGCGUUUUGCCCCUUCCAAGAAAGUUCUGUAAUGGUGAAACAGUAUGUAUCAUUGCAGGGAAUGGUUUGGUUAAACAAAAACUGUAAUAUUCUACUCAGUUCUCAAGGGCAGUUCCAGAAACCUCUCAUUUCAGUCAAGAUUCACUUGGAGAGAGGGAAAAUUCUUCUAAAAUAUUUAAGAAGAAAGGUUCAUAGCUUGCAAGCUGUUUAAAGGCAUGACUUUCCACGCAGUGUAAGUCAGAAUCCCUUUUGAUGUCAAAAAGAAUUAGGCUUUUCCUAUCUUCAAAUGUCUUGGCUCAGCCACCUAAAUGCAUUUACAAACCUGGCCUUAGCAGCUUUCAUUAGUGUACUGGCAGGUUGAGCACACAGAACACAUUGUCCCCCACGUCACAAGUAGUUGUGACUAAUGCACCUAUCACGUUCAGUGUGCUACAGCACGAAGCAUAUUCUAACCAUGCCUUGCAUUUAGCCAGUCUGUCCUCCCUGGAGGCACCCACCAGCGUGGCCCAGCCCAGCCGCCAUCCUGGUUUUGCAACCUGCAAGUACGGGCCCAAGGCAAAAUAAUGCCACUCCCUGUAUCAAAACAACAAAAUCUUCUCCCUCCGUCACGGCCGGCAGAAGAAAGGUCUGUGCCUGCUCCCCCUCUGCACCGCGGCAGCUGCAGGCGCGGUGAUGUCCCCUGUGCAAUGAUACCCAGCGGGCUGGAGGCAGCACAUCUUUGCGAGCCGUUUGGAGGGACACCCAUGCCGACUGACUCCAGCGCCUGCACACUGGCUGGCUGGCUGCCUUCGGCCACGACGGGCUGAGCAUCUGCUGGGGCCUCCCAGGUUCCCUUGACAUGGCACGUUCUCUGUGCGGUCUUGCGCUCUGUCCUCUCCCUCCUCCUUCCCCAGCCCCAGCCCAGGCUGCUGCUGUCUUUCAUAAAAUCCAUAGAAAUAUAAUCAUCAUGGAGAUGUCUGCCUCUAGUGAUUUUUUUCUUUGGAAAUAAUUAUAAUUGGCUGUGGCAGUUAAAAACUUAUCAGCAUAGGCAGAUGACAGACAGCACAAUCACAUAAGCUUCCCUCUGAAAAAAUAAAGCUAAAACCCAUUUAUCACUGUAGUUGGGAACAAAGGGCCUUCUGAAGAGCCAGGCUGUGAAAACACAGAGGGAAGACUGUUAUGCUCAUGGAUUAAAUCUGUGGUAGGUAACGAAGCACAAGCAGUCCGUUUGCAAGAUGGUGCUGUAGUAAUUAUAACAAUAUCACUUCUUUCACCUGAGGAAUACCUAGCUAGGGAUACAUCCCCCUGUUCAGAGGCAGUGACUGAGCUCCCAAGAGGUUAAUUAAGCGGCUGAAAGCCACACAGGACUGAAGAGUGACUGCACCACAGUCACAGAAAAACAUAAGCAUAUCCCCGUAGUGUCUGUAAGGGCUACUUGCACCGGGAUCCAAAGCUGGGCAUGGGUCACUUAUUCCAAGAGUAAGUCGGGAUCACUUACUCCUAGAGUAAGUCAUUAAUUGCCCUCUCCCAGAGAGUGGAAAAGGUUUGAUUGCUAGGUGUAUAUCCAAGGCACAAGGCCUCCUGGAGCCGUCUUUUAUAUGGCAGCUUGCUUGCCAUCAUCCCCAGGAGGAGCCUGUGCGCUCUCCACUCUGCUUCCCAGUGGAGCCAGGGCAAGGACUGUGCAGCCCUUGUCCUCCCUCCAUCUCGGCCCAGUGCCUCUUAUUCUCCUGCGGGGCAGGAUAAUCCAGCCACCCUGCCCACAGUCCAAAUACGCAUUUUUUCCAAAUGAUCUUAACACCUGGCUUGUCUUUGGGCUGAAUGGCUGUCCUGGUUUCAGCUGGGACAGAGUUAAUUUUCUCCCUAGUAUCUGGUGCUGUGCUGUGGUUUGGAUUUGGGGUGAGAACGACGCUGAUAACACACUGAUGGUUUUGGCUGUUGCUGGGUGAUGUUUACACCAAGUCAAGGACUCUUCAGUUUCUUGGGCCCUGCCAGCGAGAGAGCUGGGGGGAGCACAAGAAAUUGGGAGAGGACACAGCCAGGACAGCUGACCUGAACUAGCCAGAGGGAUGUUCCAUAGCGUAUGGCGUCAUGCUGAGUAUAUAAGCUGGGGGAAGAAGGAGGAAGCAGGGGACGUUCAGCGUUACGGUGUUUGUCUUCCCAAGUAACUGCAACGUGUGCUGGAGCCCAGCUGUCCCGGGGAUGGCUGAGCCCCUGCCUGCCCUUGGGGAGCAGCGAAUGAAUCCCUUGGUUUGCUUUGCUCACAUGGACGGCUUUUGGUUUACCUAUUAAACUGCCUUUGUCUCAA